GGCGGCGUGCCUAACACAUGCAAGUCGUACGAAAAAGAAAUUUUUAGUGGCAAACGGGUGAGUAACGCGUGAGAAUUUACUCUUAUGGUAGAGGAUAACUUUUAGAAAUAUUAGCUAAAACUCUAUAUGCUUUUAAUAAGUGAAAAAAGAAAUUUGCCUAAGAAAAAGCUCGCGUCUGAUUAGCUAGUUGGUAGGGUAAAGGCCUACCAAGGCGAUGAUCAGUAGCUGGUCUGAGAGGAUGAUCAGCCACACUGGAACUGAGACACGGUCCAGACUCCUACGGGAGGCAGCAGUGAGGAAUUUUCUGCAAUGGGCGAAAGCCUGACAGAGCAACGCCGCGUGAGGGAAGAAGGCCUUCGGGUUGUAAACCUCUUUUCUCAAGGAGGAAGAUCUGACGUUACUUGAGGAAUAAGCAUCGGCUAACCCUGUGCCAGCAGCCGCGGUAAUACAGGGGAUGCAAGUGUUAUCCGGAAUUAUUGGGCGUAAAGGGUCUCUAGGUUGAAACUUAAGUCUUUUGUUAAAUAUCAGGGCUUAACCCUGACUCUGCAAAAGAAACUAGGUUUCUAGAGUAUGGUAGAGGUUAAGGGAAUUUCCAGUGGAGCGGUGAAAUGCGUAGAGAUUG
rnacentral:rRNA from 1 species